GUUGAACGCUGGCGGCAUGCCUAACACAUGCAAGUCGAACGAGUGGCGGACGGGUGAGUAAUGUCUGAGAAACUGCCUGAUGGAGGGGGAUACCUGGUGGAAACGGUAGCUACUACCGCAUACCAUCAGAUCUGCCCCUAUGGGAUUAGCUAGUUGGUGGGGUAACGGCUCAGCAAGGCGGCGAUCCCUAGCUGGUCUGAGAGGAGGACAGGCGACACUGGAGCGGAGACACGGUCCAGAGUCCUACGGGAGGGAGCAGGGGGGAAUGUUGGGCAAGGGUCGCAAGUCUGACGCAGCGAUGCGGAGUGUAUGAAGAAGGCGUUGGGGUGGUAAAGUACUUCCAGCGGGGAGGCGUUACAUGCAGAAGAAGCACCGGCUAACUCCGUGCCAGCAGCCGCGGUAAUUC
rnacentral:rRNA from 1 species